CCUACGGGGGGCAGCAGUAGGGAAUCUUCCACAAUGGGCGAAAGCCUGAUGGAGCAACGCCGCGUGAGUGAAGAAGGUCUUCUGAUCGUAAAACCCUGUUUAUAGAGAAGAAAGUUCGUGCGAGUAACUGUUCACGUUUCGACGGUAUCUAACAAGAACGCCAAGGCUAAUUACGUGCCAGCAGCUGCGGUAAUACGUCGGUGGCAAGCGUUAUCCGGAUUUAUUGGGCGUAAAGGGAACGCAGGCGGUCUUUUAAGUCUGAUGUGAAAGCCUUCGGCUUAACCGGAGUAGUGCAUUGGAAACUGGGAGACUGGAGUGCAGAAGAGGAGGGCGGAACUCGAGGUGUAGCGGUGAAAUGCUUAGAUAUAUGGAAGAACACCAGUGGCGAAGGCGGCUCUCUGGUCUGUAACUGACGCUGAGGUUCGAAAGUGUGGGUAGCAAACAGGAUUAGAUACCCCUGUAGUC
rnacentral:rRNA from 1 species